rnacentral:SRP_RNA from 1 species
UGCCAAGCCCCGCGUGGCGGAUCAAUUAUGAACCGGGUCAGGUCUGGAAGGAAGCAGCCCUAAGUGAGCGGUCCGGGUAUUCGGGAUCCCUUGGUCUCA